rnacentral:rRNA from 1 species
ACGAACGCUGGCGGCAUGCCUAACACAUGCAAGUCGAACGAUGCUUUCGGGCAUAGUGGCGCACGGGUGCGUAACGCGUGGGAAUCUGCCUUUCGGUACGGAAUAACUCAGGGAAACUUGUGCUAAUACCGUAUGAUGUCGCGAGACCAAAGAUUUAUCGCCGAAAGAUGAGCCCGCGUAGGAUUAGCUAGUUGGUGGGGUAAAGGCCUACCAAGGCGACGAUCCAUAGCUGGUCUGAGAGGAUGAUCAGCCACAUUGGGACUGAGACACGGCCCAAACUCCUACGGGAGGCAGCAGUGGGGAAUAUUGGACAAUGGGCGCAAGCCUGAUCCAGCCAUGCCGCGUGAGUGAUGAAGGCCCUAGGGUUGUAAAGCUCUUUCACCGGUGAAGAUAAUGACGGUAACCGGAGAAGAAGCCCCGGCUAACUUCGU